rnacentral:sRNA from 1 species
UGUUAGCAAGUAGGUUGCGUUAGGGAUUGAAGUGGAAAUCCUUUUUUUGAGGUACGAAAAAAAAGAUUGUAGCGUAAAGCCUGACCUGAA